rnacentral:rRNA from 1 species
CCCUUAGAUGUUCUGGACCGCACGCGCGCUACACUGACGAAUGCAACGAGCUUAUAACCUUGGCCGAAAGGUCUGGGUAAUCUCCAAAUUUCGUCGUGAUGGGGAUAGAUUAUUGCAAUUAUUAAUCUUCAACGAGGAAUGCCUAGUAAGCGCAAGUCAUCAGCUUGCGUUGAUUACGUCCCUGCCCUUUGUACACACCGCCCGUCGCUCCUACCGAUUGAAUGGUCCGGUGAAGCGCUCGGACCGCGGCCUCUUGACGGUUCGCUGUCGAUUGGCUGUGGGAAGUUCGUUAAACCUUAUCAUUUAGAGGAAGGAGAAGUCGUANCA